AUGCGUGUAGUAUAGAAAGUAUAACAGGCCUAGGUUCUGUAGGUAAAGACGCAUU
rnacentral:tRNA from 1 species